GACGAACGCUGGCGGCGUGCCUAAUACAUGCAAGUCGAACGCACAGUUUAUACCGUAGCUUGCUACACCAUAGACCGUGAGUUGCGAACGGGUGAGUAACGCGUAGGUAACCUGCCUGGUAGCGGGGUAUAACUAUUGGAAACGAUAGCUAAUACCGCAUAAUAUUAAUUAUUGCAUGAUAAUUAAUUGAAAGGUGCAAUUGCACCACUACCAGAUGGACCUGCGUUUUAUUAGCUAGUAGGUGAGGUAACGGCUCACCUAGGCGACGAAACAUAGCCGACCUGCAAGGGGGAUCGGCCACACUGGGACUGAGACACGGCCCAGACUCCUACGGGUGGCAGCAGUAGGGAAUCUUCGGCAAUGGACGAAAGUCUGAACGAGCAACGCCGCGUGAGUGAAGAAGGUUGUCGGAUCGUAAAGCUCUGUUGUAAGAGAAGAACGGGUGUGAGAGUGGAAAGUGCACACUGUGACGGUAUCUGACCAGAAAGCGACGGCUAACUACGUG
rnacentral:rRNA from 1 species